ACAGACAACAAUACCACGUUGAAGGCACCGAUUCUCGUCCAGUCACCGAAGUUAAGCAAUGUUGGGUCAGUACUUACAUGGGUGAACGACUGGGAAUACUGGGUGACGACGUCC
rnacentral:rRNA from 1 species